UACGAAGGGGGCUAGCGUUGCUCGGAAUCACUGGGCGUAAAGCGCACGUAGGCGGAUUGUUAAGUCAGGGGUGAAAUCCUGGAGCUCAACUCCAGAACUGCCUUUGAUACUGAAGAUCUUGAGUUCGGGAGAGGUGAGUGGAACUGCGAGUGUAGAGGUGAAAUGCGUAGAUAUCUGGAGGAACACCGGUGGCGAAGGCGGCAUCCUGGACCGGUAUUGACGCUGAGGCGCGAAAGCUAGGGGAGCAAACGGG
rnacentral:rRNA from 1 species